ACCUACCUGUUACAGGGAGAUAGCCCGGGGAAACUCGGAUUAAUAUUCCAUAGUAUAUAAUCGUUGCAUGGUGAUUAUAUUAAAGCCUUCGGGUGGUAACAGAUGGGCAUGCGUAGGAUUAGCUAGUUGGCGAGGUAACGGCUCACCAAGGCGAUGAUCCUUAGGGGUUCUGAGAGGAAGGUCCCCCACACUGGCACUGAGAUACGGGCCAGACUCCUACGGGAGGCAGCAGUAGGGAAUAUUGGUCAAUGGGCGAGAGCCUGAACCAGCCAUGCCGCGUGCAGGAAGACGGCGUUCUGCGUUGUAAACUGCUUUUAUCUGGGAAGAAAAAGCCCUUGCGAGGGAAAUUGCCGGUACCAGAAGAAUAAGCACCGGCUAACUCCGUGCCAGCAGCCGCAGUAAUACGGAGGGUGCAAGCGUUGUCCGGAUUUAUUGGGUUUAAAGGGUGCGUAGGCGGCUGAUUAAGUCAGCGGUGAAAGUUCUCGGCUCAACCGAGAGACUGCCGUUGAUACUGGUUAGCUUGAGUUAAGGAGGGGUACAUGGAAUUUAUGGUGUAGCGGUGAAAUGCAUAGAUACCAUAAGGAACACCGAUAGCGAAGGCAUUGUACUGGCCAUAAACUGACGCUGAGG
rnacentral:rRNA from 1 species